AAUCGAAGAUGCGGCGAUGAUGUACUAGAAAGGAAAACGAAGGCACAGAGCGCAUAUACGCAUGGCUACACAAGAGAUGGGUGGGUCUUGUGUCCAGUCGGGGUGGGAGUUGGGCUCGUGCAGUGCAGUGCAGUGCACUGCAGGUGCAGUCUUGCUCGCCUGUCUUCCUCGGCACCGGGACAGCGGACCUCCACCGCAACUGGGCCAUCUGUUCUCCUUCCUCCUCUUCCUCCGCCACCGCGCUUCUGAGGAGGCUAGGGCGAUGCAACCGCUUCCGCUUUGUUAUUAGCAAAGGGAACCGUCCGAGAACGGGCAGCCAAUUCUCCGAUGCCGUCCGCUAUGGCCAAAUCCCUCCUCCUCCCUCACCCUUUCUUCUCCGUCUCACCCCGCCCACACCCUCAUCCGCGCGCCGGAUUCCCUGUUCUCAAGCCCCGCCGCGCCGCGCUGCUCGCGGCCACGCCCGCGCCGGACGCCAACACCAGCUCCAACAACAACCCCCUCGCCGCGCUCUGGCGCCGCACCCUGCAGCCCCUCGGCGACUACGGCUUCGGCAAGCGCAGCGUCUGGGAGGGCGGCGUCGGCCUCUUCAUGGUCUCCGGGGCCGCCCUCCUCGCCCUCGCCCUCGCAUGGCUCAGGGGAUUCCAGCUCCGCUCCCGCUUUCGCAAGUACAACACCGUCUUCGAGUUCACGCAGGCGUGCGGCAUCUGCGUCGGCACGCCCGUCCGGAUACGAGGGGUCACCGUCGGAUCCGUCGUCCGCGUCGACUCCUCCCUUAGGAGCAUCGAUGCAACUGUCGAGGUUGAAGAUGAUAAAAUCAUCAUACCACGAAAUUCAAUGGUCGAGGUGAAUCAGUCCGGUCUUCUAAUGGAGACACUCAUUGAUAUCACACCAAAGGAUCCACUGCCUGCACCUUCAGUAGGACCACUUGACCCAGACUGCACCAAAGAAGGCUUGAUUCUCUGUGACAAAGAGAGGAUGAAAGGACAGCAAGGUGUAAGCUUAGAUGCAUUGGUGGGAAUAUUUACCCGUCUGGGUAGAGACAUGGAGGAGAUUGGUGUUAGCAAAAGCUAUAAGUUAGCUGAAAAAGUUGCAUCUAUAAUGGAAGAAGCACAACCUCUUCUUACACGGAUUGAGGCUUUAGCUGAAGAAAUGCAACCUUUGCUCUCUGAGGUUAAUGAUAGUGAUCUGCUGAAGGAUGUGGAGACUAUAGCUAAAGGCCUGGCCGACGCGUCUGGUGACCUAAGAAGGCUGAAGUCGUCCAUGCUUACCCCAGAGAACACAGAUCUUAUUAAGCAGUCUAUUUUCACCCUUAUAUUUACCCUAAAGAACAUUGAGAGUAUCAGCUCCGACAUCUCUGGUUUCACGGGCGAUGAGACGACAAGGCGGAACAUCAAACUUCUGAUCAAGUCUCUCAGCAGGCUAUUGUGAUUGGUGUGCAUAAUGAUGGAUUGCUUUGCAUGGGACGGGGAAUGGGGAAAUGGUUGCUGGUGGGGGGUCUCUCGGUCUCGGUGGCACAGAGGUUAUUCACCCCCGACAGUAGCCCUCGAGCCUCUAGAGAAGUCGGGCGCACCUUUGGAGGUUUGUUUUAACGAUGACGCUUUUGGCCCUUAUUGAGGACGUGUGAGUGGACUCAAUGAGUCUAGCCCUUCGGGCCUCUAAAGGGACCAUGGGUUCGUUCGGAAGGUCCUUCGUUUGGGAUGUGGUACACGUUCCCGCCUAAGGAUGUUCUGUGAUCACGCUUUCGAUCUUGUUUUGCGAUGUCGGCUUUUGAGCCUUCGCUCGUGUGGAUCGAUCAUAGAGUCGUUGUGACUCUUUCUUCGUCAUUUCUUUCGUGUCUCGUUCGCUGGAGACGGGGGGUUGUACCACGCCUCCACUUUGCCUUGAUGGUAUGGUAGUUGCAAACGAGUUCAUUCGAGUGAUGACUCUUAAAGGAAAAUGGAUCUUGACCCAUUUGAUUAAGGGGUUUUGGUGUUUGAUGAACAACAUAACUAGUGAA